CUUCUCAAAUUGUCCAUUUUUGUGUAUAAUCUGAGCGCGAAUUAGGUAAAAAUUAUUGCAAUCUGCAAUUACAGUAGAUGCGAUGUUAUCAAAGGAGAUUAUCUUCGAGUGUCGUAUAAAGUGUGUUGCACUUGUCUCAGAUUGCUUUAUCCGUCAAAAAACCGGUUCUUCUUUUGUAGAAAAUCACCAUUUUCACUAUACUAACUUGGCACUAAUUUGACACUAAUUUUAUCAAUUUAACUCUAGUUCUUCCAUUUUAACUGUAUUUUGGCUAAAGGGAUCAAAAGACUCCUUUUGAACUAUUUAAUUUAACGUUUCCUUUCCGCAGUGGUCAAAAGACCGAUUUUAAAAUUUUUAAUGUGGCACGAUAUUUACUAAAGAGAUCGAAAGGCUCUUUUUAAAAUCUUAAUUUAAAAUUAUUUACUAUAUUAGAUCGCGGGGUUCUGUGCAUUUAAGCUAUAUGCGAAAAUUGUAACGUGUGCAAGAGUGCAUUUAUAUGCAAAUAAUAAAUCGCAAGCCAGUUGUGUGCCAGAGAUAAAACUAUAUUUAAUAAGACUGAACAGAGCAGAAUGGAAACAUUUACGUCUUUAAAUAUCGUUUGAUAAGCUCGUUAUACAGUGUUGAAAUAAAUAUUCAGUUUCAUUGACGUCUAAAACGGCGACUAUGAAACUAGUGACGUGUCUGUCGGACGUCAUUCUUGUAUGUUAUUGCGUAGUGUCGUGUCCUAUACAAUUAAUAUUACAAUCGACGAGGGAGAUUUUCCUGUCGAAUUAAUGUGUUCGAUGAGUAAACUGUGUGAGUGGAAAAUUGCUUGAUGAUUCGCAGUCCUACUUAUCAUAAUACUUGUAACUAGACUGCUGGACUUAAUGCACGUUACUUUUGUGCGUUAAAAGUCGAAUCAGCUAUAAUCCAACCUUUAUCCCUUUGGUAGUUAUAAAAAGUGCUGGAUCAUUCUACUAUGCGGGAAAACGUUUGACAAUUUGGAUAAUUGAAUAAAUUUUAAUAUUAAAUCUCUUAUUCAACGACCCAUUUAUGGCAAAAAUGGAUAGGUGAAAUGCAGAGAAAUGGGGAAGAUAUUAGAUUAUUGGAAAUAUUAAAAAAAAGGAAGUACAUUUUUAUUUAACUGUCGCACUGUA